UACGGAGGAAAAGAAACCCACCGGGAUUGCCUUAGUAACGGCGAGUGAAGCGGCAAAAGCUCAAAUUUGAAAUCUGGCGUCUUCGACGUCCGAGUUGUAAUUUGAAGAAGGCGACUUUGUAGCUGGUCCUUGUCUAUGUUCCUUGGAACAGGACGUCAUAGAGGGUGAGAAUCCCGUGUGGCGAGGAUCCCAGUUAUUUGUAAAGUGCUUUCGACGAGUCGAGUUGUUUGGGAAUGCAGCUCUAAGUGGGUGGUAAAUUCCAUCUAAAGCUAAAUAUUGGCGAGAGACCGAUAGCGAACAAGUACAGUGAUGGAAAGAUGAAAAGAACUUUGAAAAGAGAGUGAAAAAGUACGUGAAAUUGUUGAAAGGGAAGGGCAUUUGAUCAGACAUGGCGUUUGCUUCGGCUUUCGCUGGGCCAGCAUCAGUUUUAGCGGUUGGAUAAAUCCUCGGGAAUGUGGCUCUGCUUCGGUAGAGUGUUAUAGCCCGUGGGAAUACAGCCAGCUGGGACUGAGGAUUGCGACUUUUGUCAAGGAUGCUGGCGUAAUGGUUAAAUGCCGCCCGUCUU
rnacentral:rRNA from 1 species